rnacentral:misc_RNA from 1 species
AACUUUUGACAAUGGAUCACUUGGCUCUCGCAUCGAUGAAGAACGCAGCGAAAUGCGAUCAGUAAUGUUAAUUGCAGAAUUCAGUGAAUCAUCGAAUCUUUGAACGCACCUUGCACGCUUUGGAAUUCCGAAGGGUAUGCUCGUUUGAGUGUCAUUGUACUCUCACACUCCUCUGAUCCUUUGGAUUCGGGGAGCGGUGGACUUGGGUGUUUGCUGCUUUCCUUGUGGCUCACCUUAAAUGCGUCAGUGCACCUCUUGGUUGGACAUAGUACAGCGUGAUAAGUGUCUUCGCCGGCACCUCGCAAGAGGGUGGCCGAUCGAGAGCUCUGUGCUUUCAAACCGUCUUCGGACACUUUCUGACAACUUGACCUCAAAUCGAGUAGGACUACCCGCUGAACUUAAGCAUAUCAAUAAGCGGAGGAU